rnacentral:misc_RNA from 1 species
GAAAUGCGAUAAGUAAUGUGAAUUUCAGAAUUCCGUGAAUCAUCGAAUCUUUGAACGCACAUUGCGCCCUCUGGCAUUCCGGGGGGCAUGCCUGUCCGAGCGUCAUUACGCACCCUCAAGCCCGGCUUGUGUGAUGGGCCCCGGCGUCUCGUUCGCGAGACGGGCCCGAAAGGCAGCGGCGGCGUCGACCCGAUGAGCCCGAGCGUAUGGGGACUUCUGUCACACGUUCGCGGUGCGGACCGGCGCCUGCUUUGACUUUUCUGAUUAUCCAGGUUGACCUCGGAUCAGGUAGGGAUACCCGCUGAACUUAAGC